GGUUUUUGAUGUUGAGUUGCUUGAAGUUUGUUCAUCACGGGCAUGUGAGGUCUACGAAAGGUGAAGUUUUCUGGUUUGUCAGCAGCUCAAUGUAAUGAGCAAGAAAUCAGAUUUCUGCUCGUUAUCAUGCUAGUUAUUAGGCCACGCGCAAUAUGUGCAAAGUCAACUAAAUGUUUUUAGAAACAGUAUAUUUUAUCAAUUGUGUUAUGACUUAUGAGUGAACUAUGUGAAUUUUAUAAAGUUAAUUAGUUUAAUUUAUAUUGAAGUUUAAGUUUGAAAUAUAGAUCGUAAUGUGUU
rnacentral:misc_RNA from 1 species